rnacentral:hammerhead_ribozyme from 1 species
AUCCAACUGACGCGAGUCCCCAAUAGGACGAAAUGCGCAUCUUGGAU